UCAGAGUGUUCUUUAAAUGGACAAGCAGUUUAUUUCACUUGGUCAUCUUGCUUAAGAUACAAAAAGUACCCCACAAGCCUCUUUCAUGGCUUUCAUCUGUAUUUGAGGAGCAUUUUGCAAAUGAAAGUUGGGAGGUCUGCCAUCCUUGUAAACAAUAUUGCAAACCCCAGUUCCAGAACAGGGAAAUGCCUCUCUGUCCAACAGACAAAAUUCAACAGAUGCUGAAUUUUGCRGUUUUUUGAUGUCUCGUGGCAUAAAAACCAUAGAAUGAACAUUGAGGAAARGUCUUUUUCCCACCAAAACUCUGAAGUGAUCCUACAACUAAAGCAAAGCUGCUUCCUCUGUCCAGAAGAGAACAUCAGGGAGAGGAAGGGAUGUGCAGCAAUGAAUGAGAGGGUUUGAGUCUAACUGGUUUGUUUCCUCAGGACCAGCAGAAUGCUGUUUGUUGCAGUCUGUUGUUGAAGUACCAAUAUUCUAUUUUUAAAACRAUGAAAUGUUGAUUUGAUUAAAAUCAGCAGAAAACAGUGCGGGAAGCUGCUGGUGUGGAAAAUUUUCACAUCAUGCCAAGACAACAUUUUUUAUCAAGUUUUUUUCUUUAAGGUGUCGCUUCACAAGGUUGCAUGCUGAUGAWAAUGUUUUGCUGCUACAGAUGGAGGAAAUGAGACUGAUGAAAAUCUUCUAUGUGAAAAUCUGUAGAAGUUGGCUUCAAAGAGAGAAAUGUCCAUAAAACAYGAAUGUGGCAGAGAUGUUCCACAGGAAUGUUUCAGCUAUCAGGAACAUGAACUGUUGGGAGCAUCUCCCCUCUCAGAUUUGCAUAGAUAGAGAUGCAUUGGUUCCAAACAGAAGAAAUUUGGUAAGUAGAUAUUCGCUUCAGACAGAGCUGAGUAAAGAGGGGAAAAAAAAGGCAGGUCACAAUCAAAACAACAGAAACUCAUCAACUUCAUUAUAUGCUGUGAAUGGUCCUACUCUUCAGGAAACAAAGAUGAAAAGGUCCUUCAUUAAAUGUUAUUGGCUCACAUGAAACUUCAAGCCUCAGCUGCUUCUGAAAUCACCACAGCAGAUACUGCAAGCUGCAUGGCAACGUCUUUUCCUGAAAUCGUUUGGAUUAGCCUACAAGUGAAACUUGCUUGGGUCAAAUGAAAAGGUUUGGAUUUGAUCAAUGAGUUGGUGUGUGUUUUGUCAGCUUCUGCUGCUGCUCUGCCUUGUCGGUUGAGAAAUACUAAAAACUUUGGGCAAGAUGAGUUAGUGAAAGUAAUGCAACAGCUUUGAUAAUGUAACUUUCAUGAUGGCUAAAGGAUGGCUCAACACCAAUUAUACAUGGUAAUAAUAAGAGUAAGCUAAAAUUAUAGCCUGACAGUGCCUAGGAGGGGACUUGGAGGAUGUGUGUAAUACGUUUGCUUCCUUCCAAAACUUGUUGGACUAGCAGCCUGACUACAGGAAAAUCACUGUAAUUUAGCUUUUGCUGGCAGUAUCAGCAGUGGAAUCUAGGGCAUAAAUACAUUGCUUUGUGUAUAUCUUAGCCCAGAUCUAACAYGGGAGCAAGUGAAUAUGGGAAAGCUUGCACUGUUGUUGCUUGUCCUUUUUUUUGAACAGCAACAGGGACAGCUCAGGUUUAAUCAUGCUAAAAAACAGACAUGCAUGUAAAACCAUUACCUUUAUUUCAUCCCAAAUAGCUUAUUAAAGGGAGACAGGAGCCCAGGUCUUACCCAGUCCAAAAGAGAGACCCUCAGGCAGACAGCAGGGCUCCUCUCAAGCAGCCACUGAGGAGGCAGAUGGGAAAACUCAUGGGUCAGGUCUUCAGGCUUGGCACAGGAAGGCAGCUCCCAUUGCACCCAGUCCCUAGCUAGCAUGAAAGCAGUAAUCACUGCAAAUCUGGACUGUCCCCAUGCCUCAUGUGUGACAGAAACAUUGGUAUUCCCUUCAGCCCAGUCCUUGGGAGCAUCUGACACAGCUCACAAGCUUUGAUUUGUGUGUCUAGGGCAGAAUUUGUUUGUUAUGCUAGUCAGGGACUACAGGUAAGAAAAAUUGUGGGCCAUGGUUUUAAACUUUGGAUGAGUAGGAUAGUUAAGGUUUAUGCUUGCUUUGGAUGCAUUCAGUUCCAACUCCUGCCAGCUAAGGAACCUCACUCAUGGUGACAUGUUUUGCCAAAUAAAUUAGCAUAAGCAGACUCAGCCAGCCCUGAGUGUGUCACUGGCCACUUYGGUGGCCCUUUUUGCCACACUUGUAAGAAACCCAGGAACUGCUGCAAUCUGGAGAGAGAAACUUUYGAGCUUGUGCCAGCAGGCACUUGUUAACAGGGCUUUGUUGAGGUCUCUGACCUCCACAGAUAAGCUGCUCUUGYGGGUUAGGAGAUUUGAAGCUGCUGGGCUGAAAUCCAGCACGUUACAGCCCAAGCUCUUUACCUUUUCGUUGGUUAAGAGGUGCUUGAACUAUUUGGCAGGGAGCCAAUGAGGUCUGCUGGGUCUGCCAUGGGGCAGGCAGUUACGUUAAAAGACCCAGUUUCUAAUUAAGCCAGGCCUUUGUAACUCUCUAAGCAGCUUGCCCAAAGUCACGCUGGUGCAGGGUCACCCUUGUCUUUCGAGAGUGAGAMGGGGCAGGUGAGGCCUCUGGUCCUGCUGAACACUAAACUACAGUAGAGAGCAUUAACAUUUUGAAAUUAUUGGGAGAGAAGUUCUAGAAAAUUACCCAUGUGAUUAUAUCUUGAGGRGCAGAAGGCAGAGCAGAGUUACCUGACUGAUGUUUCUUUCUCGGGCUGGAGUUCAGCGUUGGCCCAUGCUCUCUGCUGAGGCUGUUUUUUGACUGAAAUAGAACUUUGCAUGGAACUGUUCUUGGUGUGGCUUCUGUUUAGAGGAGAUGAGAAUGAGGGAGAAUUCAUAACCAAAAAUUAGCCUAAUUUUUUUUCUUCUUUCUGCAUUUCUGAUGGUAGUUCAGUACUGGAUGUGGGGAAAUGGCUUUGCUGCACCAGUCUGGAAAUGUUACUGUAGCUUUGACCGAGGUUGCAGAGGAUGGUCCUUGCUGCCAGAUGUGUCUUGGCUUUACUAGUCCAUGAGGUUAUUUUUGAUAUGCUCUUGGUUCUUGGCGAGCAUCCCUCAAAGCUUCAUUACGAACAUCAACAUCACCCCAGCAAGGGAAAUACCACCAGCCACAAGCAGAGAGGCCGGCUGCCCAACUCUCAGCAGUUUUUACCAGAACGGGGCUGCCUCACAUGAGACCCUGGUGAGAUAUGUGGGGCCUGCAGGAGCACCCAAGCACAGGUUGGGUCAUUCAGACCCCUUCAGAUCUCRUGGGAAGGGUAAGUAGACAGCUCAGACCUGACCUCCUUGAUCCACCAGGGCUCCAGAGCUCCUGUGAAGGCUCAGGGUGGAUGGGCACCUGCUGGUGACUGUGACCUGCAAAACCUCUCCCUGCUGCUUAGAUUUGUUUUUUUUUUCUUACUUAAGUUGGGUCCUGACUACACAGGCAAGCAUCCCUGGCGGGCAGGGCAGCAGGGUGGCUGCUGGGUGUGCCCUGCUGCUGGCAGGGGAGCGCUGUGGCAGCCGGUCCAGCCGCUGCUGGCCUCCUGCUGACCCGGGCUGAUCCUCUUGUUUGCAAUUUGCUGCUGCUCUCCAGUUGGGCAGUGCCUUGGGCUGAGGAUGGGGGCUCUCUGGCUGGCUUGGGAGGUGGUUUUGUCCUGGCUGACUGUGAUCUUCACAGGUCCCAGCCGGAACAAGGAUCUGCCCUGUCCAUUCCUAACAAGAACUUGCUGCUUGGACCAUAAACAGAUUGCUGUCUCCGAGAACUGGCCAAAACAGUAACUGAGGCCCCAGGGCUGCUCAACCAAAAGAGCAGCAAAUAAACCACAAGUCUCACACCUCCUUGAUCAGACCUAUUCCAAGCUCCAUCGGAGGGUUUUCUUUUAUGGUUAUCUUUUACCUGGUUUUGCAACUGUGCCAGGGUGACCACGCAUUUGACACUCGGAAAGUGAUAACCACUGUGAAAUUCCCUCUUUCUGAUCUGCCUCGAUAACUCUCAAGUCAGGGUGUGUUUAUCCCGUCCUUGCAUUGGACUAGUGGCCUUUUGCUUAACCAAAACCAGCUUGGCCCUACUGAAAUUGAAAGAAGACCUUCCUACUUCACGGCUGUUGUGCAAUUGAUGCUCAUCAAGGAUGGUUAAAGGCACAAGACAAAACACACCCUGCAUUUGAGGGUAAGGUGUAUUAACCUUUCCACUUGGAAUGCCUAAUUGCUCAAAUAUUGCCAACAUUGUUCAAACUGCCAGAUAUGUUAGGGAACAGGCAGAACUGGAGGGACAACUCUAUAUGAGGGGUAUGACAAAUUUAUUGGGUAAAUUGAAUGGGAGUGCUUAACCCUUCUCUCUGUUCUGUUUUUUUGUAAGGACAGUUGCCAAGUGGAGUUGGUMAUGACUAAUUCAUGUGAGGAAACAGCACAGAGAAGUUAAACAGCAACAACCAGUUUAAUUUCACUUGUUACCAAURUGGCCUAACUUAAAUUUCAAAAGGAGAUGAAAGUCCUGCCUAGGAACACCACCUUCCUCUCCCACAUGGAUGCUGACUGACACAGGUGAAGCCUUCAGCCAUCUUUCCAUGUCCACUGAAAGCACUGAGGAGCAAAUGGCCCCAGCUGGAGAGUGGGACAGGAGCACAAAGGCCAGCACCAUGUGGCCAGCAAGGAAGAUGAGAAGGUACCGGCUGAAACUGAGGAAACCUCUGUA